GCGCGCGAGCGCGUGCUGGUAGCGGCAAGACUCCUGCUCCUCCCUGGCCUGGGGGUGGGGUGGUGGUGGAAGCGGGUCGCUGGGGGCGGGAGUCAGAGAAGCCCCUUCCCAGGAUGUAAAGCCUGGCUUCCAAGGUGCUGCGGGCACCCUGGAGGUUAGAGCACCGACUCCCGACCCUUGGGGUGGGGACGCGCCGGGGUCUGACCUCGGCCUCAGGGGGACCAGGUCUUCGUCGCCCAGGCUCUCCUGCAGCAGUCAGGGAGCCCCAGGACUUGGGGAAUGGCACCGAGCGGAGCACAGGGGCCUGGUGGCGGCUGCGGCCGCACCUCGCUCCAGGCCCUGUGGCACCGGGGGUGGGGGCGUCGCGGUUCCGCGCACCUGCGUCUGGGCGGGAGCGCGGGGCCGGCUGGGAGGUGGUCGCAGGCCUGGGCGACUGCUGGGAGGUGGUCGCGGCUCCGCAAGCUGGGGGCCGGUUCCCGCCGAGCGGAAGCAGCUCAGAGGCUCCCGGAGGGCCCGGCCUCCCUCCGCGCGGGCCGUCUCCCCGCCCGCUUCACUCGCUCCUCUCGCCCUCCAUCCUGCGAGCCACAACCCGGAGUGGGAUGCCGUCGGCCCCGCGGUGUCAAGCCCCAGCCUCUCACGCGGCCACCUCAGCUAGGACGGCGUGAGGAGCCCAGAGUGACCCAAGGGUCCUGGGGCGACCCAGAGCAGGCUGGAGCUCGGGUCAGGGCGCGCGGCUCCAGACCAGAUGGCCACUCUGCUUCUCCAAGCCUGACCUGGCGUGACAAAGCGUCCUACGGGUGAAGAGCUCGGGUUCUAACCCGCACCCUGUGCGCCCCCUCGCCGCGCCCGCCGUGGGAGGCGGGGACCUGUGCGUGCAGCCCGGACUCCCGCCCGGCGCCGCCCGACCGCGCUCUCCGCGGGCCACCUCCGGGGGAAGCCAAACCCGCUGCCCCGCGUCGGGAAAGGAUGUGGGUGCGGACCCUCGGCUCGCUGCUAGAAAGGACGCGCUACCCCGCCCGGCUCCCAGCCCUCUGGUUCGAAUGCCUUCCUCAUUUCCGGUGCAGGAGAAGUGAUAUCUUCUAAUUCUUGGAAAACUUUAGGAAAGUUUCCCUACAGUCAUGACUCAGCUGUCGUGAAGAAGGAAGGACAUGUUUGUUUUUUCCUGCCCCUCUGGAUCAUGAGGGCUUAGAGUUUUUGAUAAAGAAUUUCAAUUUAAAGAAUUUCAAUAACAUCAGAAAAAUGUUAAAUAUAGCAAAGUAUUUGUGAGACAUUGGUUGACGUUCUUACACAUGACAAGAGUGUAUCACUCAUGCAGAAGUUCAGGUUGCUGGACUGAUGAAUAAAAAAAUACAGUAUAUGUAAAAUUUCCAAGACGAAUGAAAUCCUAAACAAUUGAAAGUAGUUUAAAAUGAUUUGUUGAUCCCUACUAGUCCUUAAAGUGUAUCUCACAUUUGUCACGUGGAAAACCUAAUGUGCUGUGAUAAGAAUCUCAUUUUCAAUUUAGGAGCAACUAAAUGAUUAGAGUAAAUCUUCAAUGUGCUGAAUUAUCAAAGAAAAUGUAUUUUAAAACAAAAUAGAAAAAGACUGUCAUGGGAAACACAAUCAUUAUAAAACAAAACAAUUAUUUUAAGAAUUUAAAUGGUUAUGGUAAAGUAGAAAAUGAUAAAAACAAACUUUCACAUACUUGGAUUUCAGAAAAAUCUAAACUAAUUUUGCUUUUAAAGUAGAAUGUUGAUUUAUAAUAAUAGUUCUCAAACACUAUCUGAAAUGCUUUUGAUCUAGAUUCAUUUGUAAAACUGACUUAGAGUGCCUGUGCGUUGCUUCUCCUACUUCCACUUGAGAGACUGACCCUCUGGGACACCAGGGAAUGAGGAGAGAGGGGACACUCGCCCAAGUCCAUACGGAAGACUACAACUGGGAGAGCCUAGGAGAAGUCCUGGCCCAACAUGAAGGGAACAAUCCAGGGCUGCAGGAAGCAAUUGUGGGUACAGCCUCCCCCCUCCCUGGCCGGCUGAGGGGCCAAGCCAUUCCUGAGAUUUUGUUAGCAAGCCCAAGAUAUCAGACCAAUGCCCUCACUUUAAAAUCAAGGGGAACUGAAAAACUCAGAUACUUUACUAUUCCAAGAAAAAUAUGAAUUCUUCAUUCAAAACAGAAAAAUGUAAGCCAUUUUUUUUGUUUUGAAAUUAAUUUCCAGCACAACUCAGCUUUUAUUAUUAGCUCUCAUGUUGACUCAUAUUCUGAUUGAUUUGAAACUUUUGGAAUAAGAAAUGAGGAGUUCUUAUGAAAUAGAGUGGCUGUCGCCCAGUGGCUUCGCAUGCUGACGUGAAGCCUGUCUUUAAAAACCAAAAAUGUGUUUCAGUAAAGAUUUAUGGUUGAUUGGAUGGUUAUCAAAUAUGUGGGGAUUUUUAGACUUUCUUUGUCAAACUUUGAAAUUAUAAUUUAAAUAACUAGAAAAUCCUCCAGGGUUUGUUACUACCAUUACAACUUCUAUCCAUUAAUACUCAUGUUCAAAAAGGCUGCUGCUCGUGAGGACAGGUAUUUGCAAACAGAGCAGUCUCCCUGGAGGUUCGUCUGGUUUCACUCCCAAGAUUCCAGAGUCUACAGAUGAAUUACUUUCAAUCUGCCACUCUGUAAAGAUCUGACCUUUAUUAUUUACAAAAUAAUGCUAUGAAAUACAUAUUUAAUGGCUGGCA